UGAAUUAUUUGUUUUUCUAGAAUUUCUUGUUCUGGCGGGAACUGGAAGAAAUUUGAAAAUCUCGAGUUUGUUCUUCAGUGCACAGAUGGAGAGAGAAUUCAUGGAAGAAGAUCAAGGCAUUUACAGUAGCAACGCCUCGAAAAUUUUUAAGAUCGCUUCACAAAUGGACCCGGCACUGAUGUGGUACAUGCGCUCUGGCGCGGCGGCCGGUGACGGUUUCACAACUCCGGUGAGCGACGCCUCCAUGUACCGGUCAUUGCUCACGCAUUACCAACACAGCAGCAGCGACGGCCUUGGAUCCCUUCCGUCCCGUGGAUCGCCGCUUUCGCUGGUGGAGAACUUAGAGGUGACGCCGACACCGGCGGUAAAGGUGGAGGAGGAUGUACUGGUGAUGGACGGAAUUAUGGUGGAAUCCAUGGCCGGCAUGAAGGGGAUGAGGUCGGUGUCCUCCGAUUCCAGCGGAUCGUCCUCGGCUGCAGCGGCGUCCGGCAACGGACUUUACAAGACGGAGAUUUGCCGGUCUUGGGAGGACUUAGCGAGUUGCCGAUAUGGAGCAAAAUGCCAGUUUGCCCACGGAAAGGAGGAGCUUCGUCCAUUACGUUAUUCUAUGAGGACCAGACCCGAGGGAAACGUUUGCAAGCAAUUUGCUGUAACUGGAACAUGCCCAUACGGCCCAAGGUGCCGUUUUUCUCAUCAGCUUCAGUCUCUACUAUCAACAACCCAGCAAACACCCUCCCCUUCUAGACCUCAACACACAGCUGCCACCACCCCCACCAUCAAGACUGCCACCCCCACCAAGACCACCGCUGACUGGUCGCCCAUGGACGACGGCAUUGAGGUUGUGCUGCCAGGUUCUUCAGCAGAGAAACCAGCGUCAAGGGACGAGGUAAACACCUACAUCAACACUUUUCUCUAUGGUCCCACAACUCCAAGGAGGAGACUGCCAGUUUUUGAAGAGAUAUGCCCUAGCAGGGAGGCUACUCCUUGACUUCCCUCUUCUUCAUCACGUAUACACACUUGAUUGCCCGUCUAGUUCGUGAUUCAAUGAGGAACAAACCAGAGGAAAAGAUUUGCAAACAAUUUGCUGCCACCGGCUCAUGCCCAUACAGCCCAAGAUGCCCCUUCUCUCACCAGCUUCCGUCUGCUUCCCCGCCACCAACCCACCAAACAUCCUCCGCUUCCACAUCUCAAACCACCACGACCGCCGCCACUGCCGCUGACUGGUCGCCUCUGGACGACGGCAUUGAGGUUAAGUUGCCAGGUUCUUCAUCAACAGACAAGCCGCCAUCAAGGGAAGAGGUGAACGCUUUUAAUAACCGCUUUCUCAAUCGUCCGAUGAAACCGAGGAGGAGGAGACUGACGGUGUUUGAAGAUAUUUGCCCUAGCCGCGAGAAGAACUAACCUCCCUCCCUUUUCUCUAACU